rnacentral:misc_RNA from 1 species
CGCACAUUGCGCCCUCUGGUAUUCCGGAGGGCAUGCCUGUUCGAGCGUCAUUUCAACCCUCAAGCCUGGCUUGGUGAUGGGGCACUGCCCGUAAGAGGGCAGGCCCUGAAAUCUAGUGGCGAGCUCGCCAGGACCCCGAGCGCAGUAGUUAAACCCUCGCUCCGGAAGGCCCUGGCGGUGCCCUGCCGUUAAACCCCCCAACUUCUGAAAAUUUGACCUCGGAUCAGGUAGGAAUACCCGCUGAACUUAA